rnacentral:rRNA from 1 species
CAAUAGCGUAUAUUAAAGUUGUUGCAGUUAAAAAGCUCGUAGUUGGAUUUCUGAUCGAGACAUCAGGUCGGGUCCGAGAGGAUCAUGUACUUUGAUUUUGUUUUGAUCAUCCUUGGGGAGAGCAUUUCUGGCAUUCAGUUGUCGGGAUUGGGAUCCUCAUCGUUUACUGUGAAAAAAUUAGAGUGUUCAAAGCAGGCCUCGGCUUCUGAAUACAUUAGCAUGGAAUAAUAAGAUAGGACUUUGGUGGUCUAUUUUGUUGGUUUGCACGCCAAAGUAAUGAUUAAUAGGGAUAGUUGGGGGUAUUCGUAUUCAAUUGUCAGAGGUGAAAUUCUUGGAUUUAUGGAAGACGAACUACUGCGAAAGCAUUUACCAAGGAUGUUUUCAUUAA